rnacentral:rRNA from 1 species
UACGUAGGGUCCGAGCGUUGUCCGGAAUUACUGGGCGUAAAGGGCGCGUAGGCGGCCUGCUAAGUCGAACGUGAAAAUCCCCCGAGCUCAACUCGGGAACUGCGUCCGAUACUGGUUGGCUUGAAUCCGGGAGAGGGAUGCGGAAUUCCAGGUGUAGCGGUGAAAUGCGUAGAUAUCUGGAGGAACACCGGUGGCGAAGG